GGCAGCACAUAGAUUAACAUGGUCCCUGCAUAAGGAUGACAUGCAAAUUCAUGAAUUGUUCCAUAUUUUU
rnacentral:snRNA from 1 species